CAAUAGCGUAUAUUUAAGUUGCUGCAGUUAAAAAGCUCGUAGUUGGAUUUCGGGUGGGAAUGGCCGGUCCGCCGUUUCGGUGUGCACUUGCUACGCCCACCUUGCUGCCGGGGACGUGCUCUUGAGUUCACGCUCGGGACACGGAGUCGGCGAGGUUACUUUGAGUAAAUUAGAGUGUUCAAAGCAGGCCUACGCUCUGAAUACAUUAGCAUGGAAUAACACGAUAGGACUCUGGCCUAUCUUGUUGGUCUGUAGGACCGGAGUAAUGAUUAAGAGGGACAGUCGGGGGCAUUCGUAUUUCAUUGUCAGAGGUGAAAUUCUUGGAUUUAUGAAUGACGAACUACUGCGAAAGCAUUUGCCAAGGAUGUUUUCAUUAA
rnacentral:rRNA from 1 species